GCGGACGCCAUGCUGGUGGACAAGAAGCGGGCCUCGCGGCCCUCCUCCAUGGUCUUCGCCAACUACGGCCAGCUGAGGACGCACGACGACCUGCAGUCGGCCGGCUCGCCGACCUCCGCGCCGCGCGACAAUCGUGAGAUGUCGCCGAGCGUGAGGGAGGGUGGUGGCGAGGACGCCUGCACGCUGAAGAAAGGGUGAUCUGGUACUGCAAGGACACGCUGCUGAGCCGCUGGAACUGGAAGGAGCGGUACUUCAUCCUCACCAAGGAUUACCUCUCCUGCUUCAAAAAAGCCAAGAGCCAGUACUCUGACAUGGGAGCGUUUCUGUUUAAGCUGCCCCUGGCCUCGCUCUGCGGUGUGGAGUGGGACCGGUUGCGUGGCAUGGCCACCGUCGCCAUCAUCGACCCCAAGGAGGGACGCCUGCUCAUCAGGUCGACGCAGGACGUCCUC